rnacentral:tRNA from 1 species
ACCCAGGUGGCGAAAUUGGUAGACGCAGGGGACUUAAAAUCCCCCGGUAGCAAUACUGUGCUGGUUCAAGUCCAGUCCUGGGCACCA